GGCGACGUGCAGUCGCUUCCUCCACGUCCUCCCAUGGCGACCACUCUCCCAACCUCCGCCUCCGCCACCAGCGCCGCCGCUCGCAUCCUCCAAUCGACGGUCCGAUGCCGCUUCCCUAGAACCUCUCCCGUGCUCGCCCCUUCGCGUUCCGCAACUCGCCGCUUCUCCGGUGUCGCCUGCUCUCCCGGAAUUGGCGGCGUCGGCGGCCAAGCCACUCCCCGGGAGGACACCGUCCGCAUCGUGGCCGUCGUUGGCGACGGGAGCAUCAGCCCGCUGAAAGAUACGCCCUGGGAGGAGGUUAUGCGCCAUACGGCUGAUAGGCUGAAGUGGGUUGAUGAAGGAUUCGAAAUGCUUGUCUUCACAGACAAGUCGAUGGACCAUGGUGCUUUUAGGGAGGAGCUGUCUCGCUGUGAUAUGCUAGUCAAUGUUGCAAUAACGGGGCAGGAGUCCGUCCAGUGGCUCAUACAGAACAGUAAGAACAUUCCGAAUGUACUUUGCUUUCAGUCAUCUCCGUCGUUACUGAACAAGCUAGGAGGCAGAUAUGUUCAAUAUACCGGAGCGCAGGACUUCUUUGGCAAGCUAGCCAGUGUUGGCAAACCAAGUGGCGCCGAGGAAUCAACUGAAGUCCUCAAAACCAUAUCCAAUGCCUGGGAAAGGCACAACUCAGAUGACAUCAGGUUUUGCCUACUCGUUGUGGUUAACGCGUACAUAAGACCAGUUGAUAUGCUGCAAAACCUAAGGGCAAAAGGUCUCUCCACCCUAAGCUGCAUGAUAAAAAACUGUGGCCCUCAAAUUCUGAAUUGCCUCUUUGACCCCGACUGUAGGAAAGCCAUUCAGUGUUUGAAUUCUUGCUCUCCAACCGAUCAAGUCUGCAACUACCGCUGUAUUGCGUCUUACGAGAGUCCGCAACUGGAGGCCUUUUCUCUCUGUGUUUUGCAGAAGCACAACUGUCUAGAGCUAAAUGCUGCGAUCCCUAGUAAGCCUUUUGUAAGCCCGUUAUCCAUGUUCAGAGAACAGCAGCUUAGCCAUGAAGUUGCGGAAGACCUGUUUGUCGGUUGGCUGGACAAUUUGGAAUGGAGCUGGAGAGUUGUAGCUGGACAAAAUCCAGCAUAUGAUCAAUUCCCGUGCCAGUACCAAAUAUUCUACAGAGGGAAAGCGAAAGGUUCGUUUUGGUAUGAGCCAAUUUUUCAAGUCAAAACCCUGGAUGAGAAGCUAGUUUGGCGGCGCAGAAAAUACCGAGUGAGAAGAGCUAGCAUCCCUGGUACAUUCUAUUUCAGUGUACUGGAUAAUGGUGUUGUUUCAAAAGAGUUUUGGACAAUUGUUGAUGUUUCAGAUGACUUCAGCUGGGGCCUGUUCCAUUAUCAUGGAGCUGCUCAGGCUGCUGGACAAUCAUACACUGGAGCGGUGCUUGUUACCCCUGAUGGGUCUUAUCCUGACGGGGACAACCCAAGACUGGAUUCUGCUUUAGAGAAGUGUGGUAUUAAGAAAUGGGAGCUUUAUAUGGUCGAUAACUGCUCCUGCAUGGGUGCUCCUUUGGGAAUUCCAGAAGGUUCGCGACUACAUUAUCAGAUUGCUCCUGGAAACGAAGCUGGUAUUAUGCAGAGAAUAUGAUGAUCUAUUUGAACAGCAUGAAAGGGCAAUUUCAUUUCCCAACUGAUGUACUCAUGCACCUGUACUUACAAAGAUGUAACGAAUGACACAGGUGUCACCGAAUGGAGUUUAUGUGUAAUUGGCUGAUAUUAUCAUGCAAUGAUCAAGUGGAUGGCCCAGAUUUUGCUGGAAUCCAGUAGCACACAAAUGACUACGCGUAGCACUGUAUAUGUUCUCAUGUUCAUCACCUAUCUAAAGCAUCUUGAAGUGUUCCCAUUUAGUUGCUGGAGCAUCUUGCGAUGUUCAGACGGUCUCAGAUCAGUGUCACUAUGCAGUUGUUUCUCUAUCUUUGUCAAGCAGAAGUGACGUGCCUAGGACAAGUUAGAGAGUAAGCAAGUCUCCCACGUCUGGUUGACUUGCUUUAUAGGAGUACCACAAUCCGCAUGUUUCAGAUUUUAUAUUCUGCAGUUUACAGAUCUGAAUCCUAGUGGAUAAUGCAAA